GCCCAAAGCAGAGGACUCCACUGGAGUCACAGAGUCGCCUUUGAACCGCAAGUGAACUCGCGGGCUGCACUCGCAGCGGAGCUCCCGCUGCUGCCGGCGCCCCGCCGCCUGCCAGUGAGUACCUGCACCCUUAGCAGUUCGGAGUUGGCUUCUGUUUUCCGUUAGCGCUUUGCUGCACGGACAAAUGCAUACAAAUGCAUUUAGGAGCCCACAGGACAAGGCGUGGAAAGGUCUCCCACACAGCAAAAACGAAACUGCUUCUUCAUUUUAUUGUGCUAUGUGUGGCAGUGGGCACUGUUCAUGCACAAGAACAAGGGUCCACCUGGUCCAGCAGGUAUCCCAGGUCCAUCAGGAAAGAGAGGUCCACGGGGCAUACCAGGGCCACAUGGAAAUCCUGGGUUACCUGGAUUACCAGGUGCAAAGGGCCCCAAAGGAGAUCCAGGAUUUUCCCCAGGUCAAGCUGUUUCUGGAGAAAAGGUAUUUAUUUGUCCGUGAAAUAAUAUCAUGGUGA
rnacentral:lncRNA from 1 species